GGUGAGAUGGCCGAGUGGUCUAAGGCGCUAGAUUUAGGUAUUCUAAACUCUAGUCAUUCGUGGCGUGGGUUCAAAUCCCACUCUCAUCA
rnacentral:tRNA from 1 species